rnacentral:rRNA from 1 species
AUACGGAGGGAGCGAGCGUUAAUCGGAAUUACUGGGCGUAAAGCGCGCGUAGGCGGCUUUGGAAGUCGGAUGUGAAAGCCCUGGGCUCAACCUGGGAAUGGCAUUCGAUACUGCAUAACUAGAGUAUGGUAGAGGGAAGUGGAAUUUCCGGUGUAGCGGUGAAAUGCGUAGAUAUCGGAAGGAACACCAGUGGCGAAGGCGACUUCCUGGGCCAAUACUGACGCUGAGGUGCGAAAGCGUGGGGAGCAAACAGGAUUAGAAACCCCAGUAGUCC